rnacentral:lncRNA from 10 species
UCCUCUCUCCCUCCUCUCCCUCCUCCCUCUCUCUCUCUCUCUCUCUCGUUUUUCUCUUCCUUUCUCUUUCUCUCUCACCCUCUCUGUGCAACUCUCUUGGUCAUUCUCCUCUCUCUGUGCAACUCUUUCCUAUCCAGUAUUUUGCUCUGCAAAUUCCAUCCACCUUUGCCUCUGAAUUCUCAACUCCGUCUCCUCAGCGCAGGAAGACCUUCAGACUCCCAGCACGGUGGCCAGGAAACACUCUGCAAGCAGAUCCUAUCCAGGAUAUCACAUCACCUUAAGUCAUCGUGUCUCCUUAGGCUCCUCCUGGCUGUGACAAUUUCUCAGAUGAUAUUUAAAGCAAUUGGACUGGAUGCACCAUCUAGAGCGUGUGUGUGGCUGAAGAAGAGAAGAAGCUCAAAGGUCUGAUUCUUUCAGGAUCCUAAGGAGGCUCUCCAGCAUCUGAAAGUUGAGAAAAAAGCUAAAACCUGGAAAUGGGAGGCGGGUUCAAUCUUAUCAGCUGUAAUGAACUACCCAGACUCCCUUGAAGAUAAGUCAGAAACCUCUAAUGUCACGAAAUACACCAAUGGGUCCACUCUCUGCUAGAUGGAAUCUACUUAAAAUGCACCACAUGGAGCAAAAAUCUGCCGUUCUAAAGCAACGCUUUAUGUAGUUCCUGGCUUGGACACAUAUGACCAGGUGGAAAUGACCAGCAAAAAUAUAUGGUUAAGUUAGAGUUGGGGAAGCACUGUUUUUUUUUCCUAACUGUAGUUUUUAAUAUCUUUUUUCCUGUUUUAUGAAAAGACAAUGACGUUAUCAAAAAGUAAAUGCAAAAAACAUGGGAGAGGAGCAGAAAAGAUAUCUAUUGGGUACAGAGCUUAAUACCUGGGUGAUGAAAUAAUAUGUACAACAAACCCCCAUGACACACGUUUACCUCCGUAACAAACCUUCAUGUGUACCC